rnacentral:rRNA from 1 species
UACGUAGGGUGCAAGCGUUAAUCGGAAUUACUGGGCGUAAAGCGUGCGCAGGCGGUUGGGCAAGACAGGUGUGAAAUCCCCGGGCUUAACCUGGGAAUUGCAUUUGUGACUGUACGGCUAGAGUGUGUCAGAGGGGGGUAGAAUUCCACGUGUAGCAGUGAAAUGCGUAGAGAUGUGGAGGAAUACCGAUGGCGAAGGCAGCCCCCUGGGAUAACACUGACGCUCAUGCACGAAAGCGUGGGGAGCAAACAGG